GGAGAUGUGGUUCAAUGGUUAAGAGCAUUGGCAGCUGUUCCAAAUGUCCAGGGUUCAAUUCCCAGCACCCACA
rnacentral:tRNA from 1 species